GAAAUGCGAUAAGUAGUGUGAAUUGCAGAAUUCAGUGAAUCAUCGAAUCUUUGAACGCACAUUGCGCCCCUUGGUAUUCUAUGGGGCAUGCCUGUUCGAGCGUCAUUUGUACCCUCAAGCUCUGCUUGGUGUUGGGUGUUUGUCCCCGUCUCCGCGCGUGGACUCGCCCCAAAGUGAUUGGCAGCCGGCGUACUGGUCCCGGAGCGCAGCACAUGUCGCGCAAACGAGUGCCUUGGUACGGCGGCGUCCAUAAGCCCCUCUCUCACGCUCUUGACCUCGGAUCAGGUAGGGAUACCCGCUGAACUUAAGC
rnacentral:misc_RNA from 1 species